ensembl:miRNA
GGUGUGUGUGCUGCAGCUGGUGUUGUGAAUCAGGCCGAUGUCACACGUCCGCGAUAACCCGGCUAUUUCACAACACCAGGGUGGCACCACACC